rnacentral:rRNA from 1 species
AACGCUAGCUACAGGCUUAACACAUGCAAGUCGAGGGGAAACGACAUCGAAAGCUUGCUUUUGGUGGGCGUCGACCGGCGCACGGGUGAGUAACGCGUAUCCAACCUGCCCACCACUUGGGGAUAACCUUGCGAAAGUAAGACUAAUACCCAAUGAUAUCCCACGAAGGCAUCCGAAUGGGAUUAAAGAUUUAUCGGUGAUGGAUGGGGAUGCGUCUGAUUAGCUUGUUGGCGGGGUAACGGCCCACCAAGGCUACGAUCAGUAGGGGUUCUGAGAGGAAGGUCCCCCACAUUGGAACUGAGACACGGUCCAAACUCCUACGGGAGGCAGCAGUGAGGAAUAUUGGUCAAUGGGCGAGAGCCUGAACCAGCCAAGUAGCGUGCAGGAUGACGGCCCUAUGGGUUGUAAACUGCUUUUAUAAGGGAAUAAAGUGAGCCUCGUGAGGCUUUUUGCAUGUACCUUAUGAAUAAGGACCGGCUAAUUCCGUGCCAGCAGCCGCGGUAAUACGGAAGGUCCGGGCGUUAUCCGGAUUUAUUGGGUUUAAAGGGAGCGUAGGCCGGAGAUUAAGCGUGUUGUGAAAUGUAGACGCUCAACGUCUGCACUGCAGCGCGAACUGGUUUCCUUGAGUACGCACAAAGUGGGCGGAAUUCGUGGUGUAGCGGUGAAAUGCUUAGAUAUCACGAAGAACUCCGAUUG